AUGUGGAAGGGCGUAGUAAUCGAUGAAAUGCUUUGGGGAGUUGAAAAUAAGCAUAUAUCCGGAGAUUCCCGAAUAGGGCAACCUUUCGAACUGCUGCUGAAUCCAUGGGUAGGCAAGAGACAACCUGGCGAACUGAAACAUCUUAGUAGCCAGAGAAAAAGAAAGCAAAAGUGAUUUCCGUAGUAGCGGCGAGCAAAAUGGGAGCGGCCUAAACCGUAAAACGGGGUUGUGGGAGAGCAAUACAAGCGUCGUGCUGCUAGGAGAAGCAGCUCGAAUGCUGCACCCUAGAUGGCGAAAGUCCAGUACCCGAAAGCAUCACUAGCUUAUGCCCUGACAAGCUCCUUUUCUGAGAAAGGAGAAUAGGAAUGAAAUAAAAUAGAAAUA
rfam:Nicotiana attenuata strain TT chromosome 5, whole genome shotgun sequence.